rnacentral:rRNA from 1 species
ACGGAGGGUGCAAGCGUUGUCCGGAUUUAUUGGGUUUAAAGGGUGCGUAGGCGGUCAAUUAAGUCAGUGGUGAAAUCCUACAGCUCAACUGUAGAACUGCCAUUGAUACUGGUUGACUUGAGUAUAGACGAGGUAGGCGGAAUUUAUGGUGUAGCGGUGAAAUGCAUAGAUACCAUAAAGAACACCGAUAGCGAAGGCAGCUUACUAGACUAUAACUGACGCUGAGGCACGAAAGCGUGGGGAGCGAACAGG